UCAGACGAUGCGUCAUGCAUAUCAAUAAGCGGAGGAAAAGAAACUAACAAGGAUUCCCCUAGUAACGGCGAGUGAAGCGGGAAGAGCUCAAAUUUGAAAUCUUAAAGGGUUUCCCUUUACGAAUUGUAGUUUAAAGAAGUGUUUUCUGUUGAGGUUUUGGUAAAAGUUCUUUGGAAUAGGACAUCAUAGAGGGUGAGAAUCCCGUAUUUGACCUUUACUUUCAACUUUGUGAUACACUUUCAAAGAGUCGGAUUGUUUGGGAAUGCAGUCCAAAAUGGGUGGUAAAUUUCAUCUAAAGCUAAAUAUUGGCGAGAGACCGAUAGCGAACAAGUACCGUGAGGGAAAGAUGAAAAGAACUUUGAAGAGAGAGUUAAACAGUACGUGAAAUUGUCAAAAGGGAAGCGUUUGACACCAGUGUUGUUUUUCUGAAAAUCAAUUAAAGAACUGUUUAUGCUAAGUUGUUUAGACUUUAUCAGCUAACUGUUUAGUUUUGAGCUUUUCUUUAAUGCACUUUUCAGUUAACAAGUCAACAUCAAUUUCUUUUGCUGUAAAAAAGCUUGAGGAAGGUGGCUUGAGAUUCGUCUUAAGUGUUUAUAGCCUCUUGCCUAUGCAGUCGGAGAGAUUGAGGUCUGCAGCGUAGAUCCUUCGGGGCUGAAUGCAUUUGUGCUAAGUUAUAGCAUUUUAUAGACAACUUGUUGACUAUGAUUUGUCUUGUAGCUUACUCGCUUAUGUUAUUUUACCUACGCUUAGGAUGUUGAGCGCAUGUCUCUCUCU
rnacentral:rRNA from 1 species